rnacentral:rRNA from 1 species
UUGAACGCUGGCGGCAUGUCUUACACAUGCAAGUCGAACGGCAGCACGGAGCUUGCUCUGGUGGCGAGUGGCGAACGGGUGAGUAAUAUAUCGGAACGUACCCUGGAGUGGGGGAUAACGUAGCGAAAGUUACGCUAAUACCGCAUACGAUCUACGGAUGAAAGUGGGGGAUCGCAAGACCUCAUGCUCGUGGAGCGGCCGAUAUCUGAUUAGCUAGUUGGUAGGGUAAAAGCCUACCAAGGCAUCGAUCAGUAGCUGGUCUGAGAGGACGACCAGCCACUCUGGAACUGAGACACGGUCCAGACUCCUACGGGAGGCAGCAGUGGGGAAUUUUGGACAAUGGGCGCAAGCCUGAUCCAGCAAUGCCGCGUGAGUGAAGAAGGCCUUCGGGUUGUAAAGCUCUUUCAGACGGAAAGAAAACGCAUCGGUGAAUACCCGGUGUGGAUGACGGUACCGUAAGAAGAAGCACCGGCUAACUACGU